rnacentral:lncRNA from 1 species
GGGCAGAAGAAGUUCAGUUUGACUUCUGGAUUCUUGAUCGCACAUAAGGAAAAGAAAGAACACGACGGUUACUGAGUGAAUUUCUAUAUCACAGAAUCAUCCAAAUUCAAUUCUAACCCGAGUGAUCUCUGUCUAAUCCGAUAAAUCAUUGCGUGUAACCCGUAAAUAGGUUUAUCUGAUAGUUCUCAUACAAUUCAGAGAUUAAUCCAGGUUUUUUACAAACUUUGCAAUUUCAAUUCGGGUUCCAGGUUUGUUAAUUCCUUUGAAAUCACUUGUUGUAGACCAGUUAUACAACAAAGAUAAACCUAUUUGCGGGUUAAAUUUGGUCAUUGGUUGUGAUUUCAAGUUUGAAAAAAAAAUUGUAUAGUGAAUAUCUGUUCUGCAAUUUGGUUGUUGAAUUCUUAAUUCUAAAGUGUCGUACACUGUUGUUACUGGGACUUGACUUUGGUUCGUAACCCGAAUUUUGAAAUUGUGGUGGAUUCUUAGGAUUAACUGUGGAAAAUCACAUUGUAGUUUAGUUAUAAUUAUUUGUUUAAAUCAAAAGAAACUCAAUUAUAAAUGCAUGGUGGAGGAUGAACCUAGUCAAAAUUAAGAAUUAGAUUUUGGGAUUGAGUCUACUGUUUUACAAAUUUUGAUAGUGAAUUUUGGUUGCAAAAUUGGAUUUGGAACACGACGUGGGGUUACUUUCUUGAAAUUUUGAUAGUGAAUUUUUUCUUGUAAUUGAGAAAAAAAAAAGGUUGAAUUUAUGAUCUUGGAAUUUAUGGAUUAAAUUAUUGGAAUUCCGGAACUAUUAAUAGUAUUGGCUUUACUUUCUUGAAAUCUGAUUCAUCAUUGUUUUAUCAUCAACAAAUUCAAAGCCAAUUGUUGGUUCGUAUAGCAUCUGGGGAAUAGAUUUUUACAAUUCUAGAAAAGUGUAUGGGAAAUAAAAGAAAGUUUGACCGGGGUGAUAAUGAUUCCAACAAGAAACCGAAAGGGGGCUGUUGGAGAUGUGGCAAACCGGGUCAUUUCAAGAAAGAUUGUCGUGUGAAGGUUACGGGUGGAAACAAAGCUAAUAUAGCGAGUCCAAGUGGGUCAAAAGAUCCAAAUGCUUCACAAGAUGACAUGCUUGCAUGGUGGGUAGACUCGGGUGCUACGAGUCACGUGUGCAAGGAUCUCAAAUGGUUUGAGGAAUUCGAACCAAUUGAAGAUGGAUCUGUACUAAGGAUGGGAAAUGUUGCAACUGAGCCCAUUAAAGGAGUUGGAAAAGUUAGACUUGUAUUCACGUCUGGAAAACACUUGUUGUUAGAUAAUGUGUUGUAUGUACCGGGGAUUCGAAAGAAUCUCUUAUCUGGAAUUGUAUUAAACAAUUGUGGUUAUAAACAGGUCAUUGAGUCGGAUAAGUUUAUCUUGUCUCGACAUGGAACCUUUGUUGGAUUUGGGUAUUUAUGUAAUGGCAUGUUCAUGCU